UCUUUGCUAAUGUGUCUUGGCUAAUGUGUCUUGGCUAAUGUGUCUUGGCUAAGGUGUCUUGGCUAAUGUGUCUCGACCAAUGUGUCUUGGCUAAUGUGUCUUGGCUAAUGUGUCUUGGCUAAGGUGUCUUGGUUAAGGUGUCUUGGCUAAUGUGUCUUGGCUAAGGUGUCUUGGCUAAUGUGUCUUGGCUAAGGUGUCUUGGCUAAUGUGUCUUGGCUAAUGUGUCUUGGCUAAUGUGUCUUGGCUAAGGUGUCUUGGCUAAUGUGUCUUGGCUAAUGUGUCUUGGCUAAGGUGUCUUGGCUAAGGUGUCUUGGCUAAUGUGUCUCGGCAAAUGUGUCUUGGCUAAGGUGUCUUGGCUAAUGUGUCUUGGCUAAGGUGUCUUGGCUAAGGUGUCUUGGCUAAGGUGUCUUGGCUAAUGUGUCUUGGCUAAUGUGUAUUGGCUAAUGUGUCUUGGCUAAUGUGUCUUGGCUAAGGUGUCUUGGCUAAUGUGUCUUGGCUAAGGUGUCUUGGGUAAUGUGUCUUGGCUAAUGUGUCUUGGCUAAGGUGUCUUGGUUAAGGUGUCUUGGCUAAUGUGUCUUGGCUAAGGUGUCUUGGCUUAUGUGUCUUGGCUAAUGUGUCUUGGCUAAAGUGUCUUGGCUAAAGUGUCUUGGCUAAUGUGUCUUGGCUAAUGUGUCUUGGCUAAGGUGUCUUGGCUAAUGUGUCUUGGCUAAUGUGUCUUGGCUAAGGUGUCUUGGCUAAUGUGUCUUGGCUAAGGUGUCUUGGCUAAUGUGUCUUGGCUAAGGUGUCUUGGCUAAU